rnacentral:rRNA from 1 species
AGCGGCGAGCGAACGCGGAUUAGCCCAAACCAAUAAAGUUUUCUUUAUUGGGGUUGCGGACAUAUCAUAACGAAGAGGUAUCGUAAUUGAAGAGGUUUGGAAAGACUCACCACAGAAGGUAAUAGUCCUGUAUGUUAAACGAGAAGACUUCAGAUAUGAUCCAGAGUACCACGGGACACGUGAAACCCUGUGGGAAGCAGGAGGGACC